UGUCCAAGUAUCCAGUAAUAGCUUCGGUCAGCCUGUUGGAUCAGAAGCUCGCCUUUUAGUAGGAUACAUGGGCAUUCUAGCACGGAAUGCAAAUAUGUUACCCAUUAACUUCGAGUCAUGACAUAAAGUGCCCGAGAGUAACAAGAACCAAGCUCUGGAUAACAUUAAGGCGAGAUUUGCUCUAGAGGUCUCCGAUGCUUAUGUAAAGAAGGCAUUGGGAAAAAGAUGGAGAGACCAUAAGAGCACUUUAAAGAAAGACUAUUUUAAGACAAAAACAACACUCGAGGAGAGAUUACAAAAUCUCCCGCCGGGAAUGCUGAGGUACCAGUGGGAAGAGGUCGUUAGAUUUUGGACUUCGAAGAAAGGAGAGGAUCGUGAAGAAGUUGGAAAAAAAAGUAGGCAGCAACAAAAAUUCAUUCACAUAGCUGGGUCGAAAAGUUUUGCGUGUGUAGCUCAUGCAGAGG